UACGAGGGGGGCGAGCGUUGUUCGGAAUUAUUGGGCGUAAAGGGUGCGUAGGUGGCGCCGUAAGUGGGGUGUGAAAUCCCGGGGCUUAACCCCGGGACUGCAUUCCAUACUGCGGUGCUUGAGGACUGGAGAGGAGACUGGAAUUUACGGUGUAGCAGUGAAAUGCGUAGAGAUCGUAAGGAAGACCAGUGGCGAAGGCGGGUCUCUGGACAGUUCCUGACACUGAGGCCCGAAGGCCAGGGGAGCAAACGGG
rnacentral:rRNA from 1 species